rnacentral:rRNA from 1 species
UACAGGGGGUGCAAACGUUGCUCGGAAUCAUUGGGCGUAAAGCGCACGUAGGCGGUUUGUUAUGUCGGAUGUGAAAGCCCUUGGCUCAACUGAGGAAGUGCAUCCGAAACUGGCAAGCUAGAGUAUGUAAGAGGGUCGCGGAAUUCCCGGUGUAGAGGUGAAAUUCGUAGAUAUCGGGAGGAACACCGGUGGCGAAGGCGGCGACCUGGGACAAUACUGACGCUGAGGUGCGAAAGCGUGGGGAGCAAACAGG